GCCAAAGAAUGUCAAUUUCAGAGCUAAAAGGGAUCUUAGAAAACGGUAGAACACUAACUUGUUAUUAUAUGGAAAAACUGAUCAGCUUGCCCAGGGGUCUGGAUACAGAAGAGACCAAGAAUGUAGAGCCUGGCAAGGGACCCCGAAGACCAGCCAGUAUGUAUGCCCUGGCUCUACCCAGGUAUCUGUUGUCCUUGAAGAGACUAAGGAGUCAAGUUCACACAGCUGGUUAGUGACACAAUACUAGCUAGAUCCCAACUGUCCCCACUCUCACCUCUCCACCUCCAUCCCCAAGCAACCACUGAUCCACUUUCUGUCACUAUAGAUUAUUUUCCUAGAAUUUGAUAAAAAUGGAAUCACAUGGUAUUUUUUGAAUCUGGUUUCUUCCACUCAACAUGAAUUUUGAGAUUCAUGAAUCUACAUUGUUGUAUGUACUGGAAGAGUGUUCUUUCUUAUUGUUGAGUAGUAUUUUAUUUUAAAGAUAUAUUGCAAUAUAUUUAUCUGUUCUUCUGCGGAUGGAUGUUUGGAUUAUUUCCAGGUUUUGACUAUUAUGAAUAAAACUGCUAUGAACAUCCUUGUA